rnacentral:lncRNA from 1 species
CACUCAGCCCAUGGUCCACUUCUUUACAUCAACACAUGUUACUAUAACAUUCUAGUCCACAAGAGAGUGGGCGUUCUUUUAGAGUUCAUGUAUUUGAGGCAGCAGAUGAGGUAAUCAAAUAAAGCAAAGGCUGUACUUGAUAGCCAAGAACAAAACUGGCAUUUUCCCCCUUUUAAUCAAUGUCAACUCUACAAUCUUUCAGCACUAAGAACUAACAUACCUUCAUUUGUGUAAGCAGCACAUACAGAAAUAACCAAAGCAGAACUGAAGCAUGGGUGUUGCCAAGAAUUGGGGGAAAAGUUAGAAAGCAAAGAUGGGACGUGAGUCUUUGUUUUGCCUACCAAAAGAAAGGAGUCCUACUUCUUGGGUUCCAGUUGCCGCAGCAACCAAACCACUGCUAAAGGAGAUUCAGAGCAUUAAGACGGAGGUUGUGGAGGAGGGCAGAAGCCUGGGGGACUGAGCUCUGUAGCAGGACACUAGGAGCAGUGGUGGUCCCCCAACCCCCACCUGAUGAUGUUGAACAUCUGCUCAAAUUAGAGCUUGCACCUUGACUAACGUCUGGCAAGAACCAUAAACUCCCAAGCGGGUAGCACACCUGGAUCCUGUUUUAUAGUAGGGGCUUAAAGUGAGAAUAUGUUUAAAAAACAAGAACCAAAACUGUCCUUGACUUUUGGCCCAGCACUCACAGGAAACAGCAAACUAAGACCUUACCCAAACACACUAGAAUAAAACAUAAUAAACUGUGCGAGAAGUAUCUGCCCACUCUGUCCGCGAGCUUGGAGCAAAUGAGUUAGAAAAGUCAAAGCUGCAAGGUGGAGGAGAGAUCAAUGAUUUUAGCAACACUCACCCACGCUGGCAGCUCAUAAUUUCUAGAAACACAGCAAAUCACCAUGAUUUGUGAUCAUUAAGCAACAGUUAGAUUGUGUUCCAAUUCCUCCAUUUGUGGGGCAGAAAAAUCGUGUCAUAUUUC